CCUAGGGGAGGCAGCAGUGAGGAAUAUUGGUCAAUGGACGGAAGUCUGAACCAGCCAAGUAGCGUGCAGGACGAAGGCCCUAUGGGUUGUAAACUGCUUUUAUGCGGGGGUAAAGUAAGUGACGUGUCAUUCAUUGCAAGUACCGCAAGAAUAAGGACCGGCUAAUUCCGUGCCAGCAGCCGCGGUAAU
rnacentral:rRNA from 1 species